rnacentral:rRNA from 1 species
UACGUAGGGGGCUAGCGUUGUCCGGAAUCAUUGGGCGUAAAGCGCGUGUAGGCGGUUCGGUAAGUCCGCUGUGAAAGUCGGGGGCUCAACCCUCGAAUGCCGGUGGAUACUGUCGGACUAGAGUACGGAAGAGGCGAGUGGAAUUCCUGGUGUAGCGGUGAAAUUCGUAGAUAUUGGGAAGAACACCGGUGGCGAAGGCGGCUCACUGGCUCAUAUCUGACGCUCAGGCGCGACAGCGUGGGGAUCAAACAGG